GACGAACGCUGGCGGCGUGCUUAACACAUGCCAGUCGAACGGAAGGGCCCUGCUUUUGUGGGGUGCUCGAGUGGCGAACGGGUGAGUAACACGUGAGUAACCUGCCCUUGACUUUGGGAUAACUUCAGGAAACUGGGGCUAAUACCGGAUAGGAGCUCCUGCUGCAUGGUGGGGGUUGGAAAGUUUCGGCGGUUGGGGAUGGACUCGCGGCUUAUCAGCUUGUUGGUGGGGUAGUGGCUUACCAAGGCUUUGACGGGUAGCCGGCCUGAGAGGGUGACCGGCCACAUUGGGACUGAGAUACGGCCCAGACUCCUACGGGAGGCAGCAGUGGGGAAUAUUGCACAAUGGGCGGAAGCCUGAUGCAGCAACGCCGCGUGCGGGAUGACGGCCUUCGGGUUGUAAACCGCUUUCGCCUGUGACGAAGCGUGAGUGACGGUAAUGGGUAAAGAAGCACCGGCUAACUACGUG
rnacentral:rRNA from 1 species